ensembl:lncRNA
UGCCCUACUGGAUUCAGUAAAAUGAAUAGGAAGAAGAAGGAGCCCAUUCCAACGGCAUUCUUCCACUUUGCCCAUGAAGCACUGCAGGCAUGAAAGACGAGGCCAAACCUCAAUUCGUAUAUCUUUAAGAAACAAAACUGCUCUUUCUAAUGACCCUUCUAUAC